rnacentral:rRNA from 1 species
AGAGUUUGAUCCUGGCUCAGGAUGAACGCUGGCGGCGUGCUUAAUACAUGCAAGUCGAGCGAGGACCAUUUGGUGGCAACACCGGGUGGCUCCUAGCGGCGAACGGGUGAGUAACACGUGGGCAACCUACCCCCGACUUUGGGAUAAGCCCGGGAAACUGGGUCUAAUACCGGAUACGAGCCUCCUCCGCAUGGUGGAGGUUGGAAAGGGUCUCCGGUCGGGGAUGGGCCCGCGGCCUAUCAGCUUGUUGGCGGGGUAACGGCCCACCAAGGCGACGACGGGUAGCCGGCCUGAGAGGGUGAACGGCCACACUGGGACUGAGACACGGCCCAGACUCCUACGGGAGGCAGCAGUAGGGAAUCUUGCGCAAUGGGCGAAAGCCUGACGCAGCGACGCCGCGUGCGGGACGAAGGCCUUCGGGUUGUAAACCGCUUUCAGCAGGGACGAAGCGAAAGUGACGGUACCUGCAGAAGAAGGUCCGGCAACUACGUGCCAGCAGCCGCGGUA